GUCCAGGAAUGGGAAUCGAACCCACAGUGUUCCGCUUACCGGGCAGAUGCCAUCGUGAACAUAGAGGCCCAAAAUUGGUUUUGAUUAUCGUGAAGAUAGAGGCAGAUGCCAUGUCCACUAGGCUACCCUGGA